rnacentral:tRNA from 1 species
GAGGGUGUAGCUCAGUGGAGUGUGUGCUUAGCACACACAAGGUCCUGGGUUCAAUCCCCAGUACCUCUG